rnacentral:rRNA from 1 species
GAUGAACGCUGGCGGCGUGCCUAAUACAUGCAAGUAGAACGCUGAAGGAAGGAGCUUGCUCUUUCCGGAUGAGUUGCGAACGGGUGAGUAACGCGUAGGUAACCUGCCUGGUAGCGGGGGAUAACUAUUGGAAACGAUAGCUAAUACCGCAUAACAGUAGAUGUUACAUGAUAUCUACUUAAAAGGUGCAAUUGCACCACUACCAGAUGGACCUGCGUUGUAUUAGCUAGUUGGUGAGGUAACGGCUCACCAAGGCGACGAUACAUAGCCGACCUGAGAGGGUGAUCGGCCACACUGGGACUGAGACACGGCCCAGACUCCUACGGGAGGCAGCAGUAGGGAAUCUUCGGCAAUGGACGGAAGUCUGACCGAGCAACGCCGCGUGAGUGAAGAAGGGUUUCGGAUCGUAAAGCUCUGUUGUAAGAGAAGAACGAGUGUGAGAGUGGAAAGUUCACACUGUGACGGUAUCUUACCAGAAAGGGACGGCUAACUACGUG